rnacentral:rRNA from 1 species
CGCCAGCCUGACGGAGCCAGACCGCGUGGGGGAGGAAGGCCCUUGGGUUGUAAACCUCUUUUCUCAGGGAAGAAGCUCUGACGGUACCUGAGGAAUCAGCCUCGGCUAACUCCGUGCCAGCAGCCGCGGUAAUACGGAGGAGGCAAGCGUUAUCCGGAAUUAUUGGGCGUAAAGCGUCCGCAGGGGGCGCAUCAAGUCUGCUGUCAAAGGUCGGAGCUUAACUCCGGUUAGGCAGUGGAAACUGGUGCGCUAGAGGGCGACAGGGGUAGAGGGAAUUCCCAGUGUAGCGGUGAAAUGCGUAGAGAUUGGGAAGAACACCGGUGGCGAAAGCGCUCUACUGGGUCGCGCCUGACCCUCAGGGACGAAAGCUAAGGUAGCG